GCUCCCAUGGCGUAGUGGUCACUGGCACUCGCCUUGCACGCGGGAGACCCGGGUUCGAUUUCCGGCGGGGUCA
rnacentral:tRNA from 1 species